ACCCUCUCAGGGUCGCACCUGGAGAGUUUUCAGUACUCUACCAGUCUCUACUAAGGGAGGGAGAGUCAAGCAGAGGCAUACUCAUUCCAUUCCUAGCUUCGCUGUGGCUAGUGAGUAGAAGGCAAUCUGCUACAAGU